GACGAACGCUGGCGGCGCGCUUAACACAUGCAAGUCGAACGGAAAGGCCCUGCUUUUGUGGGGUGCUCGAGUGGCGAACGGGUGAGUAACACGUGAGUAACCUGCCCUUGACUUUGGGAUAACUUCAGGAAACUGGGGCUAAUACCGGAUAGGAGCUCCUGCUGCAUGGUGGGGGUUGGAAAGUUUCGGCGGUUGGGGAUGGACUCGCGGCUUAUCAGCUUGUUGGUGGGGUAGUGGCUUACCAAGGCUUUGACGGGUAGCCGGCCUGAGAGGGUGACCGGCCACAUUGGGACUGAGAUACGGCCCAGACUCCUACGGGAGGCAGCAGUGGGGAAUAUUGCACAAUGGGCGGAAGCCUGAUGCAGCAACGCCGCGUGCGGGAUGACGGCCUUCGGGUUGUAAACCGCUUUCGCCUGUGACGAAGCGUGAGUGACGGUAAUGGGUAAAGAAGCACCGGCUAACUACGU
rnacentral:rRNA from 1 species